CUACUGUGUACGGCCACUCUUAAAAUUAUUGGUUUUUCUGUGUCUCGUAGGCUAUGAAGGUCAAAAAAUGGGCGGGGAGAACGUGUAGCUGUGGGUAUCUUUGUUUUCUUAUACCACGACUUGACUCUUAGGCAUGAUGCUAUUUUCAUACUCCAGUUUUUGGUCCUGCUUAUUUCGUUGUUGAAGAGGCAAGGCAGUGGCAUUCAUAGUUGGUCUUCUUAAUUUUCUUAGCCAGGUUUUCUAAUUUGUUCGCCAAUGAGCUUUUGUAUGAGCUUUAUUUUACCUCGGCUUUUUCAUAGCAUUUUUAGUGUAAUAGCAUAAGCUAGUUUUUAAUGAUCAAUGAAACUAUCUAUGCCUUUGAAA
rnacentral:misc_RNA from 1 species